rnacentral:pre_miRNA from 1 species
AGUUGGAAGUGGGGAUCUCGGCAUUUUUGUUCCUGGUUUCAAAAAAGGUGAGCCGGCGUUUCGGGAUUUGCUGUUGUAUUGAACGGCGAAGUUUCGAACGUCGAGCCAACCUUCAUAAUCGUUAUUUUGCCAGAUCUAUCUCUUCCAGCUCA